rnacentral:miRNA from 1 species
UCACUUUGAAACAGCAAAGCGGGAGAAGAGCCGCUGAGUGGGGAGGAGAGAGGGACAGAGAGCCUGCUUCUUUAAAGGAGCAAAGCUCCUUCUUUUAAGGAAUAAGCGGCUCCUGUCCAGUUGGUUCCUUUAAAGCAAGCAGGCUCUCUGUCCCUCUCUCCUCCCCACUCAGCUCGCUACAUAGCAGCAAAGUU